rnacentral:lncRNA from 1 species
CCACCAAAAUUACUUAAAUCAUUUGACAGAGUCAUACAAUUUUAAAUGACUAUAAAAAUGUGCAGAUCAGUGCCAAAUUUUUUGGCAAAGGCUGAAUGGCAGACAGUAAUCCAAGAUGCAGACAACCUUGCUUUUAAGCCAUCCGUUACACAGAGACCAGCAGGCUCCCUUCUACCCGGAAUGCUCUCACUUCCUCUCCGCGCACCUGCCCCGAGGAUGGAGCGCCGCCCGGCCGGGCCUCCGGCGGAUGUUUUCCUUGUCCCCAAGCGUGUAGUGCUCGCCAGCUGCCCCCUCCGGGACCUGCGCGCCAGCCACCGCGCCCCCAGGACCCAGCGGGCCUGGUCCUCACCACUCACCCCCUCCCCAGCAGGCACGCAUGCGGGCUCGACCCACACCUCUGCACCGCCCCCCAACUUCUGGGAGAGGACUCCUGGCUCAGCCCAGCCUCUAGCUUUCCAGAAGCCCCUAUAUGCCUACCUCAUCUUCGUUACAGGCGAUGAACCUUCACUUCUGUCCCCGUUUCUGCACACGCACCAAUCCCCACUGGGGAUCCCUUCCCCUUCGGCAUCACCCCCACCUUCAUGCGCCCCAGCUCCCCACUCACAUCCGCCCCCUAUUGGGCUGGC